AAACCAAGAUAUCCAAAGUAACUCACGAUCCAAACGGCCCCUGAAUGGUAUCCACUAAUCUGAAGCUUCAACAUACACGGUACGGCCCUUCGUAUUCCCUUUGCUGCAAAGUUGUGGAGAUGAGCUUCUGUAAUCCAUUCUCACCAUCUUCCGUCUCCUUUCAGCCAAACCUUCUUUUCCUUCCCCAAGACCUUUAUAAAUUCUCUUCUCCUUUCUCUUCAUCUUCUUGUUCUUGUUCUUCUUCUUGUACCACUACUGCUACUACCACUAAUACUACAAGGAGAGCUUUUUCGCUCCUCACUGCAACAUCUUCUCUCAUCUUCUCUCCGUCUUUUACUCGUUCUUCUGAUGCUUCUGCUGUUUCUGAUUUCUUCGAGCUUGAAAACUCGGGCGGAGUGAAAGCACUCGAUCUUCGCGAGGGAGAGGGAGAGGUUCCUGUCAUUGGCGACCAGGUUGCAAUUCAUUACUAUGGAAGGCUGGCAGCAAAACAAGGGUGGCGCUUUGAUUCAACGUACGAUCACAAGGACGAAAUGGGCGACACAGUUCCUUUCAUAUUUGUUGUUGGAUCGGGCAAAGUUAUCUCAGGCAUUGAAGCGGCUGUAAAGUCAAUGAAAGUUGGAGGUAUUCGCCGGGUCAUUAUCCCACCAUCCCAAGGAUAUCAAAACACAUCACAAGAACCUAUACCACCCAAUGUGUGGAUCUGGUCGUAAAUGGGCAUACAACAAAUCCCAAGCAAAAGAAAUUCAACAUGAGAAGGAAACAAGGGGAAAAAGUGAAAAUGGCAGCUGGUUGUCUUUUUAUGCCCAUAUCGGUUUGACGGAUACGCAUAUGAGGUAGCGGCAUUGUAUUGGCUGAUACAUGCUGUAUCAAAUGGAUAAUAUCCAGUUUUUAAGAUUGGCCGAUAUAGAUUCGUAUCAUGUAUAGCACCAUGCUGAUACAGAUGUAUUAAGGCUGUAUUGGCCGAUACAAAACUGGCAUCCAAAUCUGUGCCCUCGAGGAACCCAUCUUCUCUUCAGAGUCUUCAACUGUCACCCUCUCUCUUCAUGGCGUAUACAUGAAGACAGAGUUCUUCGACAGGCAGAGGCUGUUUACCACUAUUUUCAAUCCAACCCGUCUCGCCAAUGGAGAAGGCUCUACAUUAGGCACUCUUAUAUUUGACAUUGAAUUGGUUAGUGUAAGGCAUCC